rnacentral:rRNA from 1 species
CCUACGGGAGGCAGCAGUGGGGAAUAUUGCACAAUGGGGGAAACCCUGAUGCAGCGACGCAGCGUGAGUGAAGAAGUAUUUCGGUAUGUAAAGCUCUAUCAGCAGGGAAGAAAAUGACUGUACCUGAUUAAGAAGCCCCGGCUAACUACGUGCCAGCAGCCGCGGUAAUACGUAGGGGGCAAGCGUUAUCCGGAUUUACUGGGUGUAAAGGGAGCGUAGACGGCAGCACAAGUCUGGAGUGAAAUGCCGCGGCUUAACCCCGGAACUUCAUUUGAAACUGUGAAGCUUGAGUGCAGGAGAGGUAAGUGGAAUUCGUAGUGUAGCGGUGAAAUGCGUAGAUAUCAGGAAGAACACCAGUGGCGAAGGCGGUUUACUGGACUGUAACUGACGUUGAGGCUCGAAAGCGUGGGGAGCAAACAGGAUUAGAUACCCUAGUAGUC